rfam:Ramazzottius varieornatus DNA, contig: Scaffold011, strain: YOKOZTNA-1.
GGGACAGUAGUCUAGGGGUAUGAUUUGUGCUUCGGGUGCACGAGGUCCCGGGUUCAAUUCCCGGCUGUCCCC